UUAAUCCAAUCUUCACAACAACCUUAUGAGGAAGAUACCACUGGGUCUACAUACCUUAACCACAGUUCCAAAAUCCAAAAAGCUCUAAAAAUUAAAAAUUGGAAAGUAGUAAAAAGCUCAAUAACACUGUGUUGGAGAAGAUGUGACAAAACAGCCACUCAUACGUUGUUUGCAGUAAGGAGAAAGCUCAAGAAGCUGGUACCUGUGAUUGCUGCUGGGAGAAGAACCAGGAGCCUGGGGGUGAGGAAUGGGAGGGAGGCUCACCAUUCAGUAUCAUGUAUACCUUGGGAUCUCACAGAGCCUGCUGCACAUAAAUAAAACUUACCUGCCUUAAUGAGAGCCUCAUUACUUUUAAUUGU